rnacentral:rRNA from 1 species
AUUGAACGCUGGCGGCAGGCCUAACACAUGCAAGUCGAACGAGUGGCGGACGGGUGAGUAGUGUCUGGAAAACUGCGUGAUGGAGGGAGAUAACUAGGAGAAACGGGCGCUAAUACCGCAUACCAGGGGGUGUGCACAUAUGGGAUUAGCUAGUAGGUGGGGUAGAGGCUCACCUAGGCGACGAUCCCUAGCUGGUCUGAGAGGAUGACCAGCCACACUGGAACUGAGACACGGUCCAGACUCCUACGGGAGGCAGCAGUGGGGAAUAUUGCACAAUGGGCGCAAGCCUGAUGCAGCCAUGCCGCGUGUAUGAAGAAGGCCUUCGGGUUGUAAAGUACUUUCAGCCGGGAGGCGUUACCCGCAGAAGAAGCACCGGCUAACUCCGUGCCAGCAGCCGCGGUAAUAC